rnacentral:rRNA from 1 species
GUCCUAGCUGUAAACGGUGCAUAUUUGCUGUAAAAGGAAUCGACCCCUUUUGUGGCGUAGCCAACGCGAUAAAUAUGCCGCCUGGGAAGUACGGUCGCAAGAUUAAAACUCAAAGAAAUUGACGGGGGCCUGCACAAGCGGUGGAGUAUGUGGCUCAAUUCGAUGCAACGCGAAGAACCUUACCUGGCCUUGACAUGUACGUAGUAGAAGGGUGAAAGCCUGACGAGGUAGCAAUACCAGCGUACACAGGUGCUGCAUGGCUGUCGU